rnacentral:rRNA from 1 species
GACGAACGCUGGCGGCGUGCUUAACACAUGCAAGUCGAACGGUGAAGCCCUUCGGGGUGGAUCAGUGGCGAACGGGUGAGUAACACGUGAGCAACCUGCCCCCCACUUCGGGAUAAGCCUUGGAAACGAGGUCUAAUACCGGAUAUGACAUUGCCCUGCAUGGGGUGGUGUGGAAAGUUUUUUCGGUGGGGGAUGGGCUCGCGGCCUAUCAGCUUGUUGGCGGGGUGAUGGCCUACCAAGGCGACGACGGGUAGCCGGCCUGAGAGGGCGACCGGCCACACUGGGACUGAGACACGGCCCAGACUCCUACGGGAGGCAGCAGUGGGGAAUAUUGCACAAUGGGCGAAAGCCUGAUGCAGCGACGCCGCGUGAGGGACGACGGCCUUCGGGUUGUAAACCUCUUUCAGCAGGGAAGAAGCGAAAAGUGACGGUACCUGCAGAAGAAGCGCCGGCUAACUACGUGCCAGCAGCCGCGGUAAUACGUAGGGCGCAAGCGUUGUCCGGAAUUAUUGGGCGUAAAGAGCUCGUAGGCGGUCUGUCGCGUCUGGUGUGAAAACUCGAGGCUCAACCUCGAGCUUGCAUCGGGGUACGGGCAGACUAGAGUGCGGUAGGGGAGACUGGAAUUCCUGGUGUAGCGGUGGAAUGCGCAGGUAUCAGGAGGAACACCGAUGGCGAAGGCAGGUCUCUGGGCCGCAACUGACGCUGAGGAGCGAAAGCAUGGGGAGCGAACAGGAUUAGAUACCCUGGUAG